rnacentral:rRNA from 1 species
UACGUAGGCAGCAAGCGUUGUCCGGAAUUACUGGGCGUAAAGAGUGUGUAGGCGGUGCUCUAAGUUCGGUGUGAAAUCUCCUGCUUAACUGGGAGGGUGCGCCGGAAACUGGAGUGCUCGAACGUGGGAGAGGAAAGCGGAAUUCCUGGUGUAGCGGUGAAAUGCGUAGAUAUCAGGAGGAACACCUGCGGUGUAGACGGCUUUCUGGACCAUUGUUGACGCUGAGACACGAAAGCGUGGGUAGCAAACAGG